CUACGUGCCAGCAGCCGCGGUAAUACGUAGGUGGCAAGCGUUAUCCGGAAUCAUUGGGCGUAAAGAGGGAGCAGGCGGACGCGAAGGCCCGUAGUAAAAGCCCGAAGCUAAACUUCGGGCGGCUAUGGAAACCGCGCGCCUGGAGUGCGGAAGAGGAUCGCGGAAUUCCAUGUGUAGCGGUGAAAUGCGUAGAUAUAUGGAGGAACACCGGUGGCGAAGGCGGCGGUCUGGUCCGGCACUGACGCUCAUUCCCGAAAGCGUGGGGAGCAAAUAGGAUUAGAUACCCUAGUAGUCCACGCUGUAAACGAUCGAUACCAGGUGUCGGGAGUCACAUCCCGGUGCCGAAGCCAACGCAUUAAGUAUCGCGCCUGAGUAGUACGUCCGCAAGGAUGAAACUCAAAGGAAUUGACGGGGGCCCGCACAAGCGGUGGAGCAUGUGGUUUAAUUCGAAGCAACGCGAAGAACCUUACCAGGCCUUGACAUC
rnacentral:rRNA from 1 species